AACGCACAUUGCGCCCUCUGGUAUUCCGGGGGGCAUGCCUGUUCGAGCGUCAUUACAACCCUCACGCUUUGCGUGGUGUUGGGCCUGCCCCCUAAAGGGCUUGCCUCAAAAUCAGUGGCGGCCGCUGUUCGACCCCUAAGCGUAGUAACUAUUCGUCGCUUCUGGGUGAGAGCAAGCCUGCUAGGAACCCCCACCUUCAAAGGUUGACCUCGGAUCAGGUAGGGAUACCCGCUGAACUUAA
rnacentral:misc_RNA from 2 species